AGUUGUAAGCCGCCACGCCCGCCUGCCCGGUGUGUCUGGGGCUUUGAUUGGACGCCAGCUCUUACUGGUGCUCACCAAGCCCUGGGACAGCUUCUGCUUCUCUCCCCAGUCUUCUCUGCAUUUAACUUGGCCACCUUAUAUCAGUAAACCCAAUGAGAAAACCAAACAAGCCUAAGUCUCUAAAGACUAGACGGGGUAUUCGAAAAAUGGGACUUUGCAGUGAGGGGUGUUUUACAGUGAAAAUUCUACUGUAAAGAAGAAUCUUUUAAUACCCCCCCUUGGGAUAGAGUGAGUAAUUUAUGCAUAAUGACAAGAAAACACAUGUAAUUACUCUGGGUAAUAUAUGCUUCCUGUUCAGUUGUGUGUUUUAAAGGGAUUAAGACACUUAGUUUUUUCAGUGGUAAAUAUCUGCUUCCUUGUUACCCCGAGGUCUCUGGAAGUUUGUUGUGACUGUGCCUGAGUUGAACUCACGCAGGACACACACAGUACUGAGGAAAGUAACCAGUGUAGAUCUUUGGCCGAGAAUGAUGGGCAGAGGCCUGUGACAGUGGGAAGCCUUGUGCGGCUAGCCCUAGGAGUUGGGGGCUGGAGGACUAAGGGGGCUUCCAGUCCCUCUGGAGCCAUCCUGAAGCUCUGUGUGUCUUUUUGUUGCUGUGUGCAUUUCAAACUGAGCCUCACUAUAUGAUCCAGCCGGGCCUAGAACCUAAUUUGUUUUAGCACAGGCUAGCCUCAAACAUGAGGUCCUUCUGCCUUGGCCUGCCUGUUGCUGAGACUGCAGGUAUACAUUACCCCUGACUGUGUGCCGAUGGGGAAGCUAUGUGGCACAGCAUGGAGCAGAAACACGUAAGGGAAGGUUAUUCAAUUAGCAUAUUGAUAUCACCCAUAUCACAUAGGAUGAAAUGAAUUUCUGACAUUUGUUUUUAAUUAAUAAUUUCCACUUGUUUUUGGCCCAGGACUCCUAUGUGUUUACUGCACAUGGCUUUCCCCACCCCCCAAUUAGAGGGUAGAUUUCACCCUUUAUCUUUGCAGGUAACAGAUCCAAGACAUUUUUAUGUAAAUGGACUAAUUAAUUGGUAGCCUUCAUUUGAAGCUUAAAAUAAAAGUAAUCCUUUUGGAGAGGCAUUAGCUAUUUCUAAAGCCACAAACAAUUCUCCCUUAAGCACCUUGUUACAAUUAGAACUUAAGUUAACAGCAGCAGACAUAAUGGAAGGCGUUACCCCUUACCUAAGAACCUUGUUUUCCCAGAGUGAUUAAAGAAAUCCCUUCACUAAGGGACUGCAGAAACCUCCUCACUCACUUGCU
rnacentral:lncRNA from 1 species